GGCUUUGAGUCCGUGUCACAACGUGGCUACCACUCGUCAGGCGUCAUAGGAAGGUACAUAUAGCAGCCUCCAAAGGAAGAGAAGACACCUUCUCCAGGAUAUGCCCCGAGCUUCUUAUUAGAGCGACUUGCACAAGGUUGCUGGAUAAGAUGCUUACACCAGAGCAACCGCUCCCCCCUGUAUCCCAGGCAACAUGCCAGGAGACAUGGGAGGAAGCGGGGAAGCACAGUUAAGUAACAAAUGUAUUAGUUCAGUUUAAAUCUGAAGCUGAACAACAAUAUACAGAGUGAGAAAGUUAUAGGCACUUCAAUCUUCAGCAAAAAUUUAAAACUCAAAUGCAUCCAGGGGUAAUAGAAAUUGUCAAGUGGCUAAGACAAUAGGAAGUGAUAAGGACUGGGGUAAGUUGGAGAGGAUAAACUCUGCUUAUGGGCAUUUAUAUUUUAAAAGUUAAAAAAAAAUUUUUUUUUAACCUGCCUAUCCAAAUAACAUGUAGUGUUUAAUUAUUCCACUUGAUCCUAUGUAGAAAAACCCCGGAGCAAGAUGGUUGUUUUAUUAAGACCUUGGGUGCUUCUGCUUAAAAGCCAGCUAGCCAGACUCUACUUUAAAUAAAGUACAAAGUACUGAGUGUGCUAAAACUCA